rnacentral:lncRNA from 1 species
UUAGCACAGAAAUAUGUUGCGGAGCAAAGCUAUGAUAUAAUUAAGAAGGAUAAUGCCUUCUAGAAUAUAAUUAGUAGUCACAUGUAGUUUAGGAUGUUAUGUUUCUUAAUAGAUUAGAACUCUACAAUACAAGUUUUUGUCGUACUUUUUAUUAUGAUAUAGAAGGAAGAUAUCAUUAGUUCCAUAUUGAUGAUGAGUC